CUCGUCCUCUGGAGUUGUAAGCUGAAGAGGCUGUGACCGACGUGGGCCGGGUCCAAUUCCCUUGGAACAGGGAGUCAUGGAGGGUGAGAACCCCGUCUGUGACUCGGAUCCCAUCGUCCUAGUGUCGCGGUCUCCAAGAGUCGGGUUGUUUGGGAAUGCAGCUCAAAAUGGGUGGUAAAUCUCAUCUAAAGCUAAAUAUUGGCGAGAGACCGAUAGCAAACAAGUAGAGUGAUCGAAAGAUGAAAAGCACUUUGAAAAGAGAGUGAAACAGUACGUGAAAUUGUUGAAAGGGAAGCGUUUGGCAUCAGCCCAUGGCCUCCGACGAUCAUCCGGGCCUCGUGUCCGGUGCACUUGUCGGGGGUCGGGCCAGCAUCGGCUUCGUCCGUCGGAGAAAGGUCCAGAGGAUGUGGCUCCCUCACGGGAGCGUUAUAACUCUGGGCGUCAUACGACGUGACGGGGGCCGA
rnacentral:rRNA from 1 species